GCGGGCGUGCCGAAACUGGAAAACGGGCCAGGUUUAGGUCCUGGUGCUCGAAAGAGUUUGGGGGUUCGAGUCCCUCCGCCCGCA
rnacentral:tRNA from 1 species